rnacentral:rRNA from 1 species
ACGAGUGGCGGACGGGUGAGAACGCGUAGGAAUCUGCCCAGUAGUGGGGGACAACCCGGGGAAACUCGGAUUAAUACCGCAUACGCCCUAAGGGGGAAAGCAGGGGAUCUUCGGACCUUGCGCUAUUGGAUGAGCCUGCGUUGGAUUAGCUUGUUGGUGGGGUAAAGGCCCACCAAGGCGACGAUCCAUAGCUGGUCUGAGAGGAUGAUCAGCCACACUGGAACUGAGACACGGUCCAG